rnacentral:miRNA from 1 species
AUGUGUGUAUACAUGCACAUACACAUACAUGUAUGUAUAUGUAUGUGUACACACACACACACACACACACACACACACACACACACACAC